rnacentral:lncRNA from 1 species
CUGGGGAACCACAUACCUAAUUACGCUCUGCUUAACGAGCACCUACUGUGUGCCGGGCCCUGUCCCAUGCGUUGUCAACACCAGCAUUUUAAAUCGGGAGGCACGAGUUAGGGUUAUGGCUCUUUUCUGCAGCACAGAGAAGAGACAGAGGAGAGAGGUCCGUGGCCACCACCUCCAUCUCCCCGGACCCAAGUCUGCACCCUCCUCCUUCUGCUGGCGCCCCAGGGACGGUUUUGAUGGACAUGUUUUUUACAGGGAAAAAAGCUG